UACACUAUAUGCCUCAUCUGGGCUCUUUAACAUAGCCAGUCAUAACCAUUUCUUUCCUCCUAUGGGCUCUUUGAUAUGACCAGUCUUGAGUCCAUAUUCUAAAACAUAUAUCGGCGCCUCAGUUCGCCUUUUCGAAUAGCCUCUCGUAGAAGUUGCUGGGAUUGCCAUGGAUUGUUUUGCGAUGUUAGUGAUAGUUUUAAUAUGGCUUCUGCAUCUUGAAUGGGAAAACUCACCCAUGAAAACCUGGUUAGUUUUCUCUGUGGCCUUGGGUAAAAGUUGUUAUGGGAGUCUGAUAUGUUUAAGAAUAUGGACCUGUAAGCGCCUCAGUUUGUCUGUUGUUUAGGUUGUUGGGAUUGCCGUGGAUUAUUUUGUGAUGCUACUCAUAGUUUGAACACGGAUUCUGCAUCUUGAACAGGAAAAAUCACCCAUGACAACCCGGUUAAUCUUCUCUGUGGCUUUGGGAAAUAGUUGUAAUGGGAGCAGGAUACAUUUAAGGAUAUGGACCCUAACCUCCUCCUCCUCCUUCCCCCCACAGCCCCAGGCCAGCAUGAUGAGUGGAUGGCCGAGGCAGUGGGCGGCGGACAAGGGUGAAAGUCCCUGCACACAGCGGGAGGCCCUCACCCACUGGACUGACCCCGCUGACCCCUGUGCCGCCAGCCAGAGGGUCAUGCAGGACUUUGUGUCGUGCCAGGUGUUCCCCGCCUAGACGCAAGGGGGCGGACAGGUGCUGCUGGGACAACUGGAACAGGCCGUAGCAUCCAUGUCUCCCGGAAUAACAAGCAUUCUGGAGCUGCUGAAGGAGUACGUCAGGCACUAUCGCCCACUGGACGAGGAGGAGGAGGACAAACACCAACAUCCUCAGCAGCACACCCACGCCCAGAGGGUGGCCACCACUGUGAAGGUCUACGCCCUGCUCUUCGCCUUCCCCUCCAGAGUGCUGUUGAAGGAGGAGGAGGCUGGGGGGGCGGGGCAGGGGCAGGGGGAGGGUUUGACUGCUCUGCGUUUGUGAAGGGACUCACCUACCUGUUCGAUCUUCUCCUCAGCUACCGUCGGAAGGCAGUCGUGGCACAGGCCGGGCUGCUGGUGGCGUCACAGCUGCGGGUGGUGGUGGACAAGGGCAACUUUGGCGGUGAUGACAACAACGGUAAUGAACAGCAGAGGGGGCGGUAUGCUAUGAACCACCGCCACUCCGUCCUCAAGGAUCUCAACGAACUCCUUAGCAACCUCAGUGUUGGGGUGCGCACAGGACUCAGGCGACAGUGCUCCACCCUCUUGUAAGGACCUUGGAUGGCUGGUGUGGCUGGGUGGGUGUGGCUAGAUGUGGAUUGUUUGGUGUGGUUGGCUGGGUGUGGCUGGAUGGACAUGGAUGGAUGGGUGUGAAAGGGUGGCUGUGGCUGGCUGGGUGUGACUGACUGGGUGGGGCUGGGUGUGAAUCUUCGUUGCCAAAUUAUCGUAUUAACCACAUAUCGUAUCUACCAUUUUUAUGCCUGAAACUCUCGUACCUACACAAGUAACGUGAGAAGAUCAAAGUUAGUGGUAAAACUGUUGAAUAUUGAUGUUUUUCGUUCUUUGUUGUCAUAGUUAUCGGUCAGCAACUACGAAAAUGAAAUGCGAUGAGUACGAUAAUUUGGCAACGCUGGUGUGAAUGGGUGUGACUGACUGGCUGGGUGUGAAUGGGUGGCUGUGGCUGGCUGGGUAGGUGUCUCUGGCUGGGUGUGGUCGGGUGUGGUUGGCUGGAUGGCUGACCGGCUGGGUGUGGCUGGAUGGCUGGCUGGGUGAAUGAAUAUGUUUGUAGUUUUGUGUAUUUAGCAAUUUGUUUUAUUUAUCUUUUUAGUUGUCCAGGCAAUGAUGGCCUGCCAUUCCCUUUGGCUGGCUGAUUGGCUGGUUUUGUUGUAAUACUUAUUUAUGCGUUAAUUUAUAUAGCACUUGGAGUCAUGCCAUUGAUUGAAGAGGAGAAAAUAUUGCCCAUUGCAUCUUACUUUUACAUGAUGAACAAACUUAGAUCAGAAUCAUUGGUGUUAGCUGCAACAUCAUUACAUUUACUAAACAUUCACCCUUUGCUGUGAGUUCUAACACCAACACAGUUUCCCCCACUCA